GCCUUCGGGUUGUAAACCUCUUUCGCCAGGGACGAAGCGCAAGUGACGGUACCUGGAGAAGAAGGACCGGCCAACUACGUGCCAGCAGCCGCGGUAAUACGUAGGGUCCGAGCGUUGUCCGGAAUUACUGGGCGUAAAGAGCUCGUAGGUGGUUUGUCGCGUUGUUCGUGAAAACUCACAGCUUAACUGUGGGCGUGCGGGCGAUACGGGCAGACUUGAGUACUGCAGGGGAGACUGGAAUUCCUGGUGUAGCGGUGGAAUGCGCAGAUAUCAGGAGGAACACCGGUGGCGAAGGCGGGUCUCUGGGCAGUAACUGACGCUGAGGAGCGAAAGCGUGGGGAGCGAACAGGAUUAGAUACCCUGGUAGUCCACGCCGUAAACGGUGGGUACUAGGUGUGGGUUUCCUUCCUUGGGAUCCGUGCCGUAGCUAACGCAUUAAGUAC
rnacentral:rRNA from 1 species